AGUGAACGCUGGCGGCGUGCCUAAUACAUGCAAGUCGAACGAAGCGGCUCACGGGCGAGUAAUAUAUAGUUAAUCAUCCCCACACAGAGGAACAACAGUUGGUAACGACUGCUAAUACUCCCUAGUGUAGGAUGAGACUAUAUCGUAGCAGCGAGUUGUUAAGGUUAUGGAUUACCAAGGCUAUGACGCGUAACUGGUCUGAGAGGAUGAUCAGUGACAUUGGAACUGAGACACCGUCCGGAAUCCUACGGGAGGCGGCAGUAAGGAAUAUUGCGCAUGGGGGGGAACUCUGAAGCAGCUACGCCGCGUGGAGUAUGACACUUUUCGGAGCGUAGACUCCUUUUAUCAUGUAAGCGGUACCUGCUGAAUAAGCACCGGCUAACUCCGUGCCAGCAGCCGCGGUAAUUC
rnacentral:rRNA from 1 species